rnacentral:rRNA from 1 species
CAGUCGCCGCGGUAAUCCGAAGGGUGCAAGCGUUAAUCGGAAUUACUGGGCGUAAGGCGUGCGCAGGCGGCUGUGUAAGACAGGUGUGAAAUCCCCGGGCUUAACCUGGGAACUGCGCUUGUGACUGCACAGCUAGAGUAUGGCAGAGGGGGGUGGAAUUCCACGUGUAGCAGUGAAAUGCGUAGAGAUGUGGAGGAACACCGAUGGCGAAGGCAAUCCCCUGGACCUGUACUGACGCUCAUGCACGAAAGCGUGGGGAGCAAACAGGAUUAGAUACCCGCGUAGUCCCUGUCUCUUAUAC